AAACUUUCUCUAAUAAUUCCAAAUAAUUCCCAAAGUCUAAAUAAAAUUAUACUGUGCUGAAACCCGAACUUUUGCUCAUUCAGAAAACAAUGAGGUCCAGAAGCUGGUACCGCCAACAAUGUCGAAUUCCGAAUCUGGAGGCGCCUAUAUGAAGCUUGAGUUGCAUGGAUUCUAAAAACACCAGAAUGACCAUCUAACUCUUGCCGAAAACUGCUAGAUCGCAGUGAGAAGGGAGCUGGUCCGGUGAGACUCUCCUAAGGCUGCCGAUGAAAGAGAAACAAUGGGAAGGAGCUGACUUGGGUAUGUCAAAGUUGAGGAGCUUGUUUCUGGCGUCGGAUAGGUGAAAGGACGGUGGUAGGAGGCUGCACUUGUAGCGACAGUAAGGAGGAGCAAUCUUGUCCUCGAACUGGAUGUUAAUAGCGAGAAUAAGAGAAGAAGAGGGCGGCGCUGAUGACAAGAGGGGAAAAAAGAAGUCUGCAACGAUUGGAGAAGGUGGCAGGCGGCGGGGGUAGGGAGGGGGAGAAGGGAGAAGAGAUUAUGUGGAGAGAGAAGGAGGAGAAGGAAAAUUUUG
rnacentral:lncRNA from 1 species